rnacentral:rRNA from 1 species
UACGUAGGGGGCUAGCGUUGUCCGGAAUCAUUGGGCGUAAAGCGCGUGUAGGCGGUCCGGUAAGUCCGCUGUGAAAGUCGGGGGCUCAACCCUCGAAUGCCGGUGGAUACUGUCGGGCUAGAGUGCGGAAGAGGCGAGUGGAAUUCCUGGUGUAGCGGUGAAAUGCGUAGAUAUUGGGAAGAACACCUGAGGCGAAGGCGGGUUGCUGGGCCGACACUGACGCUGAGGCGCGAAAGCCAGGGGAGCAAACGGG